rnacentral:rRNA from 1 species
UACGUAGGUCCCGAGCGUUGUCCGGAUUUAUUGGGCGUAAAGCGAGCGCAGGUGGUUUGUUAAGUCUGGUGUAAAAGGCAGUGGCUCAACCAUUGUAUGCAUUGGAAACUGGUAGACUUGAGUGCAGGAGAGGAGAGUGGAAUUCCAUGUGUAGCGGUGAAAUGCGUAGAUAUAUGGAGGAACACCGGUGGCGAAAGCGGCUCUCUGGCCUGUAACUGACACUGAGGCUCGAAAGCGUAGGGAGCAAACAGG